UACGUAGGGGGCAAGCGUUGUCCGGAUUGACUGGGCGUAAAGCGCACGCAGGCGGUUGCGCGCGUGGGGUGUGAAAUCUGGCCGCUUAACGGCCAGGCGCCAUCCCAUACGGCGCGACUGGAGUGAUGCAGAGGUCGAUGGAAUUGCCGGUGUAGUGGUGAAAUGCGUAGAGAUCGGCAGGAACACCCAGGGGGAAACCAGUCGACUGGGCAUCUACUGACGCUGAGGUGCGAGAGCGUGGGGAGCGAACCGG
rnacentral:rRNA from 1 species